AUAUUGUGAUGAGGGCAUCUGAGAAGUAGUUCUUUAAAGUGUUCCCAUGCCUCGAAGAAAGGGUCUCCGUCUUUUUAUUGGAAAGUCAGAAUUUCCCUUCUCAAUUGC